UUGACCCGGAAAACCACUAUGAUACCUAAACUAAAUAAACCACUAUGAUUACCUACCAUAAAAUGUGGGUAUGAUGAAGCCAAACCCCUCCCGCUCAAACUCCCGUACACCGCACCGCAUGCGCCGUUAAGUGGGUUAGGUUAGGUUUGAACUGCGAUCCUCACAGAACCGAACAAAAGUGGGUUAGGUUUGGUUAGAACUGCGAGUCUUACAGAAACGAAAUGCUACUAGAAAAGUGGGUUUGAUUAGGUUCGAACUGCGAUCCUCACAGAACCGAACUGCUAUCAGAGAAGUGGGUUAGGUUAGGCUAGAUAACUACGACCCUUACGGAAACGAAAUGCUACUAGAAAGUAGGCACUGGUUUUACUUCCUUUUCUACAUAGUGCACCAUCUACCACCUUCUUUCAAUCUUUCACCGGGCCCCAUAGAAGUCGGUUUUUUUUUCUUAAAAAUUAUUUGGUCUUGAAUUACGUUUUGCAGUAUAGAGAAAACGGUACCAAAGAUACCUAUAAAGGCCUAUGCGAUUAACGGUACUGAAACUUCCUGCAUAUUAUCAUUUUAAUAACUAAAUGUGAAGUAGAAUAAUAGUGAAACAAUCCUGCCGGCCUAGCCAAGGUUACAAUCGCUAUCGCUUCGACAACGAAAACUUUGUCUCUCUAUCACACUUCCAUAUUAGUGCGACAGUGACAGUUGCGUUUCGAUCGCUACGGAGCGUAAGCGAUCGGCAUCUUGGCUACGCGGCCUGAUCGAAAAGCGUUUAUUACAUCUAACCAAACGCUGGGUACUUUUUAUAUUGUAGGGAGGCCGACCUGGGGGGCUACCGCGAAAACCGAAUUUCGAAAAUUGCGGCGAUGUUACUCUUUUACUCCAAUGAAGGCGUAAUAAGUGUGACAGAGAAAAUUGCCCGCAAUGUGCGAACUUCGAUUUUCGCGGUUAUGCCCUGCUUUAGUACAAAAUAUGCCCGGCGACCAUGUGAAUGUGAUAAACGCUUAACCCCAAGUUAUUUAAAGGGCACAAUCAGCAGGGAAUUUGUCCAUUAAAAUAUCUAUUUAAAUUUAAUAUUAAUAUUGUUAGUUUAGUCGCAUAUUACGCUAUACACAUCACACCAUUAUAUUUUAUAGGAACAAAACUAUAUUUAUUGGCUUGUAAUAUUUGAACAUGAAUUCCACUUUGAUGUUGUUCAAACGACUUUGAGGUAAGAUAAACGUCACUUUGAUUUUGAGGUAAUAAUGUUUACCCAGUUUACCUCAAGAUUAACUGAAAAUGGUGAAAGCAUGAACUUUACAAACUACUUACGGGUAUAUCCUCUAGCCGCCCAGAGGGCUGUAAAAAGGUCUCAUGCUCCAUUCUAAUUUGAACUUUAUGUCGAAUGAAUCAAAGUUUCAUUUUGCUUGGCAAGGUUUGACGUAUGGGCGGCUAGAGGAUAUAAAUAUUCUGUAUCGAUACACAACUAGACAACAAAUUUUACAAGUGAAUAUAUAUGUUAUAAUAAAACUGGUGUACAAAUAUUUCAAGCCAUAGUAAUAUGUACUUCACUCGCGUAAGUAGAUUACGUACGUAGAUUUUAUAUGUUAAAUUAAGUUGCAAAUAUCCUACUAUUGCUAUAAGAUUGUAUGUCCACGUGUCGGGUUGUCUAUCUCGCGGGCGACAUACUGUCACGGUGUCGCGGCGCUCCUGUGCUGGUCGAGAAACUUUCAUGUAUAUCAUUACACUAAAAGAUGGUCUCUUAAUCCUACUACGGCUUAAGUAUGAAACAGUUUUAAAUGAAAUUUUGCUUUUAGCUUUCAAGUACCCACUUUAAUAAUGAUAGACUUGGCGCGUGGACCCUACCGAAGAGUUACUAUUUCAAGUUUCUUUCCCUUGGCUGUGAUAAGUUUUCUACUAUAUACAAAAUGCUUCUUAAUGGCUACUUUCAUAGAUAGUACUUUCAAUUUUAAAUUGUAAUAGACAGACCAGGAAUCUACGCUGUUACGGCAAAACAGCGUAUCUUAUUAUAUAGCAGAGUUCGGACAAUUCAUCGCAAAAAUAAAUAUUGUAUAGAACAUGAUACAAUUUUUGUAACAAUUAUAAACUGCAGUUUUUGAGUAUAAUCUGGAAAUUUUAUAAAGAUACUGUGUACAUAAUAUGAGUUAUACGAUCAUAAUGUAAAUUCAUAAACUAAACUAAACUAAUAAAUCUUGUCCUAUUUGAAGAUAUAAAUGAUUUUUGAUGGUUUUGCGAUGACUUGUCCGAUCACUGCUUAUUUGUAUUACUGAUAUUACUUAUUUCCUAUACAUUGUUUUGGCGUAACAGAACAGGAAUAAAUAUGUUGAGCAUCAAGACCUGGUAAUUUUAAAAUGAAGAAAUCUUUCGACGAAUACAAUUCAGUGAAACAUUUGGUAAAUUAAAAGCUCAACAUUUUUAUUGGACGAUUUAUUUCGAAGAAAAUUGUGAAUUCGAAAUAGAUUUUAUACAUUACUAAACAAAUCUAGGACCAGUGUCGUCGGGUGACAAGCAAAAGUCACUAAGUACUAUCAAAAAAUUAAAGUAACAAUGCACUUUAUUACACUUGUAACACGGUUUAUUGUCCAAUAAUUUAAAUGGUGUUAGUUAGUGACUUUUGCUUGUCACCCGACGAAAUCCAAACUUUUCUUCGAAAAAAUCUUUUCUGGCAAACGAUUUAUAUUAAAACUUGGAAUUGACAAUUUUGUUGACAGCUAUUAAUAAUUAGUCAUUUUGUAUUUUUCGGUAUGAGAUGCAUUUUCAUAAUAAAAGCUAGAACCAUAUAUUAUGUAUGUACCUAAACAAAAAGGUUAACUUCAAAGAUUCAUAUAAUUGUUACAUGGCUGGUAGCGACUGUACAUACAAUAAAACAAGAUAUAAAAGCUGUAACAUAUCUCUGACGUCAACUGUAUUGAAUCAACAUCACUCGAGAAUAAAUCGAGAUAACUUUCACUUUGAGGUAACUCCUUGAGUUAAAGUUGAGGUAAUCCCAAUUUAACCUCAAAAUUAUAAUUUAAGUAAGUAUUGCACCGUUAUACUAAUUGUAAAAUAAGCUUUAUAAAAUGAGUACGCAACUUUUGCCUAAUAUUGCGAAUUUUUAUAGACAUGUACGGUGGUGGUACUGGUGCUCGACGCGGUCCCAGUACAUGUCAUCUUGAAACUAGUAUAAUUGUCAAUAGAGGUGACAGCACGGUGUCAUCUAUUGGGCAUUAGCAUGUCGAGCACUAGUACCACCACCUUAUGGAUAUUUAUUUUAUACCGAUUGUCGAUACUGCCCAUGAUUUCGAGCAAUAAAAUAGAUAUAAAUAAUAA